CCACACCCUAAGGCAGGAAGGAGGUGUGAUUGGCCAUCCUGAGUUACAUGCCCGUUGUAGCUUGGGGUGGAGUCACAGCACCUAAAGCGCAUGGACUGGAAGUAGAGGGAAGGGCAGUUUCCCAGAGGAAAACCAGAGUGAUAUCAUUAGAAAAAAGAGUUCCUGCUGAGAGGCAAAGAUUUACACAUGCAGACCCCAGCCACUAUUUACUGAGGGCUAGAUUGUACCAGGCACUUUACCUGUGCUGUGAUCAUGUAAUCCUGUCAAGCAAAACCCAGCAGGAAGAUAGAAGACAAUAGAGCCGUGAUUUUGACCCAGCCUCCCAGGACACAGAUGGGGUGAAGAAAUCAAAGGGGCAAACAGAAUUUGCAGCCCAAGUUUCGAAGGGGCAGUUGGGAGACAUCUUUAGGCUUUCUGCAACCAAGCCACCGUCUUCCACACAGCAAGAGACAGUUACUCAGUGGAGGAAUAAGCCUUCAGUUGCAUACCGCUCUGUGCAUUGGAUGGGAGGAUUUUGAAACUUUUGGAAGCUCCAUACUGUGGCUUUAUUCCAUGAAUCCACCAGCGCUGUGCACCAAAGUUUCUCUGUGGAGGGAGAACAUAUUUUUGCAGAGCAAGUACAGAUAAGAGGUUGGGUGCCUGAAGCCUGGAUAAUAAUAGAAUGACAGCUGAUGAUUCAUCAGUGCUCUUCAGAGCCAGCUGAUAAUACGUUGCCAGCCUUUCCCCUUUGCUCAGACAGAACAGCCACCCUCACCCACGGGGAUUCCUGCCCAGAAGGAAUUUCCACAGCCCUGUACCAAGCAUGCUUAAAGUGGCUGCCAUUUAUGUGGGGUUUCCAUGUGCCAAGGGGCACGCCAAUGGUCCUUUACAUCAACUCACUUAAUCUUUAUAUCCUCAUGACCGCCCCAGGAGAUACAUAAUAACAUCUACAUUUUAUAGGCAGAGACAGAAGCUUGGCUCAGCAUAACAGAGAGGGAGUGUGGAGCAGUGGUCAGGAUCACAGCCAGUAAAUCCAGAUGACCUGGGUUCAAGUCCCAGUCCUGCCACUUCCCAGCUGUGGGCUUUUGCACAAGUCACAUGGUCUUCCUGUGUCUCAGCCCCCACCCCCCCAUCUGUAAACAAAACAACACUGUAAAAUAACAGUGUCUACCUCAUGGGGAUCUUGCAAAGAUCAAAUAAAGAGCUUUGAAGAACAUCUGACUUAUAGUAAGCUCUGUGUGAGCAUUAGCUCAGAGAUAGUUCUCAUGUUAAACUAAAUAAGUUGCCCAAAGUCACAUAGACAGAAAUUAGCAGUGCUGAUUGUGCAAACCUGCAUCCUGAAGUGAGGCCUUGGAACCAGGGUUGUCCUGGAGCUGGUUUUACCAGCUUGCAAGAGCCAACUGUUAAAUUCUCAGGACUUCUGUGAACCAGUUGUUAAACACAGACAUUAUUAAAAAUUAAAUUAUAUCAAGUUUACAGUUAAAUAAAUUAUGUUAAAG
rnacentral:lncRNA from 10 species